CAGUGAGGGAAUUAAGGACAGCACGUUGUCCUUGUAAUGGGGAUCCAGCAGGGUGGCCACCCAGUAAUCAGCACAUUAGAAUGUGGGUAACUCGGCAGUCGUUACGCAGACACUUAUUUGACUCUAGAUAACCUCGGGCCGAUCGCACGUCCCCUGCGACGGCGACGACGCAUUCGGAUGUCUGCCUUUUCAACUUUCGAUGGUACUUUCUGCGCCUACCAUGGUAACCACGGGUAACAGGGAAUCAGGGUUCUAUUCCAG